AGGCAAAGUGUACUCGCAGCCAUUAGCAGUCCAGCCUGAUUACUGGGCUCCAUCUGUUACCAAUGGCAACCAGUGCCACUGCCAGCGCUCUGACAGCAUUGUUUCCAUCUGCGCCCACAGGAGAAACUUCAAAUCUUAGAGUUUGAAAUCCUGAAACAACCUUGCAGACACAAUUAAUUAAUUAAUUUUCUUCCUAGGGAUUUUUGUUUUUUCACCUGCAGCAAGCAAACUGACCUUUACCUUCUGUAGAAGCCAAUUAGCAGUUGGCUUCAAUUAUAACUUGUUCUAUGAAUUGAUAUCUCAGGUCUGUGCUCUUAAACUACGUGCAGUUCCCAGCACUGUGCAGCUUCUCCUUCCAAGACAGAUCUGGCCACGGUAAAUUUACAACUGGUAUUCAUCCUCAUCAAAGUUUUAUUACACCAAAGAAGAAACAGCCAGGCCAGUCUAAGAUAUGACUGACUCUCGUCUGCCUCUACUGUAAUAUAUUGAUCUUCCAGCACAACUGGAGGAACAAAUUCCUAGAUGAUAUACUGCCAGUUUCUUGAGAGAAAACCUGCUAGCAGCAGCAUGUGUCACAUUAAACUGCCUGGCUGACUUGGAGAUGAAACAGAACCAGCUGGGAUGGAUGGGCUCCCUGGCCAACUCCAGAAGGAGCAAGAUGCCAAUGCAAGAUCCGGCAUUUCUGCCCUAAGCAUCCCACAAGAAACUGAGCACAGGGAGCUCUAGUUGGUACCUUUGUCUCAGGGUUGUUUAGCAACCCUUUUCCAUUCUCGGAAAGGACAACAAGGAAAUAUUUUUUUCUCCCAGGGAAUAUGUGAUGAUGGUCACAAGUGUUAGAGCAUCUCUGUGACUGGAUGAUGACCAUUCACAGCUGGAAGAACUGACUGAGUGAAAAAGGGAUGAAGAUACCUCAAUGAAUUUCCUGCAUAUUGCAACAGCAUUGCGUCUGACCUGGUUUUGGUUUUCAUUAGAGAGCAUUUUUGAUUUGGUUUACAAUGUUUUGAGAAGGAAAUGUUAUUGAUUCUUUUUCAGGAACAUAAUAUUGUGGGAUUUUACAUUUAUGAUGCAUUUUUAGUAAAAUCUUUAUUUCGAAAGCAGCAGCAGCAUGUUUCUAAUUUUUUCAUUUUGCUGCAUCUAUGUUAGUUAUAGUAGAAAAUUCAGAACUGUUGAAGCUCUGCACUGACAUUGGCACAAACUGUCCGGCAGUGGAGAAGUGAAACACGCUGCAAUAUCCAUUACUCUCAUUUUAGCACUUCUAGUAUUUCUGUUCCUUUUGAGGCACAGUCUCUCACAAUCAGCUGAGCCCAUGAGAAACCUCCCAUCAUGGCACCUAAUUAUGAUUUAUGUCAGCGUUAGGCCAGUGCCAAUGAGGACACCUCGGCCCCACCUCCCCAAAUAUUGAAGGAAAAUAAGUUUUCUGUAUGGGGCUUUUAUUUUUAUAGAUGAGUAUCUACAUCUGCAUGUAGAAAAGGAAGAAAGGAAGAAAAACAAAGAAUGAUAUAAAGGAAAAAAAAAAUCUGUACUUAAGGCAAUCUUAGUAUCUUGAAUAAAACUCUCUGGCAGUUGUGAGAAAACUCUGAGACAAUCAUAUCAAAUGCUAGAUGACCUUCCCCUAUAUAUACUCAAGUUACCUUGGAGUUAACCAAGAUGAUGACAUAACCCAGACAAAUUAUUUAGGCUCCAUUACAGAUGACAGAGGAAGAUUUGUAGUUAGUGACAGGGUUUCAUCUUGCCCAUAUUAAAGCACAGAAAAAUGUGGUCAGAGCAGCAAUGAAGCAGAGGAGGAGGAUGCAAUCUUAACAGGAAAGUAAGAUGACCAGCCACAGGAAGAAUGCACAGAAAAUUGUUGCAUUAUGAUAAUGGUGUUUGAUUGAUUUUACAGCAUCCUGCAAAGGAAUCAUAGCAAAAUUUUUAGGAGAAAGCUAUAAUAUAUGUUGGCCAUCCAACAAAAAUUUUAUCAUUGGUAUGGAAAGGUAACCUCAAAUGAAGUAGUAAACACUGUCUUUGCAUAAUUCUGAGUAUAAUAGAAUACAAAAUGUGGUGUAAAAUUAAUUUAGAUGUAAUGAAAUCACUGAAGAAACUCUCUCUUGUGGUACAUCAGGACAACUCCAGAGGUGCCAGUUGGCUUGUAGAGGCAAUUUAGCCUGACUGCUUCAUUUUGUCAGUGUUACUGUAUAAAAAGCACUGCUUAUGGUGGGGAUUAGUUGUUGUCUCAUCUCACUUCAUGUUCUGAAUAAUAAAUGUUUAUGCAUGUUGCCUUCAA